UAAUACAGAGGUCCCAAGCGUUAGGCGGAAUCACUGGGCUUAAAGCGCGUGUAGGCGGAUCCGUAAGUGCCUUGUGAAAUCCCACGGCUCAACCGUGGAACUGCUGGGCAUACUGCGGGUCUUGAGCCAUCUAGGGGCCUGCGGAACAAGCGGUGGAGCGGUGAAAUGCGUAGAUAUCGCUUGGAACGCCAACGGAGAAAUCAGCAGGCUGGGGAUGUGCUGACGCUGAGACGCGAAAGCCAGGGGAGCAAACGGGAUUAGAUACCCCGGUAGUCCUGGCCGUAAACGAUGUCCACUAGAUCGAAGUGCCUCUGACGGUAUUUCGGUCGAAGCAAAAGUGCUAAGUGGACCGCCUGGGAAGUACGGUCGCAAGGCUA
rnacentral:rRNA from 1 species